rnacentral:snRNA from 1 species
AUAAAGUUAGUGUUAACAUUGGCAGCAUUGGAACAAUACAGAGGGGUUAGCAUGGCCCCUGAACAAGGGUGACAUGGAAAUUUGUUAGGUGCUUCAUAUUUCU